CGUAGGUUGUUGGGGUGGGAAUGCAAAUCAGUUUGUGUGUUAUUUGGAGAGAUAAUGAUUGACUGAGUAUUUAAAUUUGGGGAGUUGAAUUGAGGCGCAAGAUUAGGAGCAAGGGGUGGGUUAUUUGCUGACACAGUAUUUUUGUGGAAGAGAGUGGGGAAGUGAGGUUGAAUUUGAAUUAGAAGAUGAGGCAGGUAAAGAAGAGUAAGGAAAAAUAUUCUUAACAAACCUUACAUGUUGUGAUGUAUACAGUUUUUCCUUAUAUUCUUGAGUUUGUUCUU
rnacentral:lncRNA from 1 species